rnacentral:miRNA from 1 species
AUGUAUGUGUGUGUGUAUGUGCACGUGUGUAUACACAUAUAUACACACACACAUAUAUAUAAGGCCAGCA